UACGUAGGCAGCGAGCGCUGUUCGGAGUUACUGGGCGUAAAGAGUGCGUAGGCGGUUGGCUAAGUUUGGUGUGAAAUCUCCCGGCUCAACUGGGAGGGUGCGCCGAAAACUGGCUGGCUGGAGUGUGGGAGAGGCUAGCGGAAUUCCUGGUGUAGCGGUGAAAUGCGUAGAUAUCAGGAGGAACACCUGCGGUGUAGACGGCUGGCUGGACCACUACUGACGCUGAGGCACGAAAGCGUGGGGAGCAAACAGG
rnacentral:rRNA from 1 species